GGUUGGGUGGCCGAGUGGCUAGGCUCAGGUCUGCAAAACCUGCUACGACGGUUCGAAUCCGUUCCCAACCUCCU
rnacentral:tRNA from 1 species